UACUUUCCACAAGGCACGUGAUGGGUAAA
rnacentral:piRNA from 1 species